UACGAAGGGGGCGAGCGUUGUUCGGAAUUACUGGGCGUAAAGAGCGUGUAGGCGGCCAUACAGGUCAGCUGUGAAAACUCGAGGCUCAACCUCGAGACGUCGGUUGAAACCGUAUGGCUAGAGUCCGGAAGAGGAGAGUGGAAUUCCCGGUGUAGCGGUGAAAUGCGCAGAUAUCGGGAGGAACACCUGUGGCGAAAGCGGCGCACUGGACCACAACUGACGCUGAGGCGCGAAAGCUAGGGGAGCAAACAGG
rnacentral:rRNA from 1 species